rnacentral:rRNA from 1 species
GAUGAACGCUGGCGGCGUGCCUAAUACAUGCAAGUCGAGCGAACAGAUGAGGAGCUUGCUCCUCUGACGUUAGCGGCGGACGGGUGAGUAACACGUGGAUAACCUACCUAUAAGACUGGGAUAACUUCGGGAAACCGGAGCUAAUACCGGAUAAUAUAUUGAACCGCAUGGUUCAAUAGUGAAAGACGGUUUUGCUGUCACUUAUAGAUGGAUCCGCGCCGCAUUAGCUAGUUGGUAAGGUAACGGCUUACCAAGGCAACGAUGCGUAGCCGACCUGAGAGGGUGGUCGGCCACACUGGAACUGAGAAACGGUCCAGACUCCUACGGGAGGCAGCAGUAGGGAAUCUUCCGCAAUGGGCGAAAGGCUGACGGAGCAACGCCGCGUGAGUGAUGAAGGUCUUCGGAUCGUAAAACUCUGUUAUUAGGGAAGAACAAAUGUGUAAGUAACUAUGCACGUCUUGACGGUACCUAAUCAGAAAGCCACGGCUAACUACGUG